rnacentral:lncRNA from 1 species
AUACUUUAAUCUAUUUCCGAAAUAUAUAAAAACACAUAGAAAGGAACAAUGCUAAGAAGAAAUGGCAGAAAGGUAAAACAAUACAAAAAAAGAAUAUUUACAUACACCAAAGGCAGAUCCGUACAAAGAUCAGCCAGACAAAUACAAAAAAUACAUGAACUAAAUCAUAAAAAUACAAAACUACUGCCGUAAAAGCGCAAAGAACUUUAUGCAUAUGCAUAAAUUUCUAACAGCUAUAUAGCUGUAACAUUUACCAUAUGUUUGUUUAUAAUUAUAUUACAACUGAAUAACUAAAGUGCCUAACAAAUAAAUUACACAAAAACUACAAAAAAAUAACUAACUAACAUUAUCAGGCAAAACUAUCCAAAACACCAUGCAAAAAAACCAGAAACUGACAUUAGUGUGAAGCAAGACAUCACAAAUAAAAAUGAAAUAACAUCAACAAUCAGUUGCAAAUACAUCACAGUAAAAUAACCACUAGGAUUACAAGGAAUAUAACACUGAUAAAGAACCGCUAGGAUUUACAGUGAUGGCGUGCUACAAAUCCCACUAGCAUUUGCAAAAUUAUAAUUACACUGAUAAGAUAUAGAAAUUACAGUGACAAAACCACUACGAAUUACAGGAUUAAUUCAAAAUAAUUCACUAAAAGAAAGCCUCUAGGGAUUGCACUAGAAAAUCACUCUAAAAAGGUGAAGUAAAAAAACACUAAAUUUUGCACUAAGAAAUACAGUGUGUAUCCAGUAAAAUGUACAGUGACAAACCAGUAAGAUUACAGUAUAAAUCCACUGAGAUUACAGUGUAAAUCAAGAAAAGAAUUACAGUGAAAAUCAACAAGGAAUUACAGUGCAAAUUAAUAAAGAGUUUCAGUGCAUAUACAGUGUAAAUCAACAAAGAAUUACUGUGUAAAAACAUAAAAUUACAGUACUAAUUACACUAAGAUUUACAGUGUCAAAAUCAAACGGUAAACUAGCAUCAACACUUACGGGCUAUAAUGGGGAUCACAAUGCAAAUCCACUAGGAAUUACAUUGUAAAAACAAAAAAAAGUAGGAAUUACAGUACUAAUUACACUGAAACCAAUAAAAAUUACACUGAUAAACCAAUAUGAAUUACACUGAUUAACCAAUAGGGGUUACACUGUAAUUACACUGAAAACCAAAUAGGAAUUACAUUCUCACCCAACUGCAUAUCCAAUGACAAUUACAGUGCAAAUCCAAUGAAAAUUACAGUGUAAACCCAAAAUGAGAAGUACAGUGUAAAUCCACUAGCAAUUACACUGUAAAUCCAUUGAGAAUUACAAUGUAAAUCCAUUGAGAAUUACAGCCACAAUCCCAAGGCGACCCAGCAUGCCAACCAUACAUACACACUGUGACAGUAAAAAUGGCCCAGGGGAAAAUUAACACAUACUCCCUCUGUAAACUAAUUAGUGAUCUAAACGUUCUUAUAUUAGUUUACGGAGGAAGUAGAUACUAACAAUGGAGAGCAGGGACUAAACGAUGAUCUGCUAUGUUCGAAUUGCUCAAAUAGCGCAUACAAAAUCAAACAACCAGCCAAAUUCAAACAAUUAACCACAGUGCCCAUCUCAUAGAUCGAUAGAUCUCACGAAUUACAGGAGGGAUUUGGGGGUGUGAGAGAUAGAGUACAUGAGAGGAUGCAGAGGAAAGUUGGGGUAGGUACAGAGAACAGGAGGAAAAGUUCAGACUAGACUCACACAUACCUCUCACACACGGCAUGACAUGCUAACAAAUACAGAGCACACACACCCUGUCGCGUGGGUACACCAGUCAGCCUACCACACCACACUCAAGGCUACACCUCUCUGUAAACCAUCAAAUUGACUGUUGUGUGCUGCACCAUCUCCUCGGUCAUCAGCUUCAGGCGACUCUAUUUUCACACUUGGCAAAUCAAUCCCAGAAACCAUACAUCGAUUGAAGGUGUGACACACAUGCAGAUCAAUGAAACUAACAACCAACCAGAAACCCUAAUCAAAAUUUGCAUGACAGACGAGAUUCAAACACAGGAAGGGCGGAACCGCACACAUCUACACAAGAAGCUGCCGGAAAUUAACACAAGCAAACAGAUCUGACCGAGAAAACACUACGCACUAACAUACAGAGCUGAGAAUCAAAGCAACAGGGGGGAACAUACCGAAUCGAACAAAACCGACGAGCGGCGAGGGGGGGCUCCAAAUCGCCAUGGAUAUCUCUCUCAGUUGCCUUCUGGGUUACGUGUUCGAAAUGAAAAGGGGAUCGAGCGGCGCGGGGAAGAGACAGAGGAAGGAAAGAAAAAGAAAAACACCGACGCGCGGCAGCGAGCGGUACUAACGGGUUUGGAAAAUACAAGCGGGCCCGAUAAGAAACUCAGCGCCAGCAAACGACGAAAAAAAA